rnacentral:ncRNA from 1 species
UUGAGCCCGGUGCGGUGAAAGUCGCACGCCGGGUUCUUAGGGGGCUUGGGAGUGGAAACACUCCCCGGCUACCCGAC